rnacentral:rRNA from 1 species
UUGAACGCUGGCGGCAGGCCUAACACAUGCAAGUCGAGCGGAUGAAGGGAGCUUGCUCCUGGAUUCAGCGGCGGACGGGUGCGUAAUGCCUAGGAAUCUGCCUGGUGGUGGGGGAUAACGUCCGGAAACGGGCGCUAAUACCGCAUACGUCCUGAGGGAGAAAGUGGGGGAUCUUCGGACCUCACGCUAUCAGAUGAGCCUAGGUCGGAUUAGCUAGUUGGUGGGGUAAAGGCCUACCAAGGCGACGAUCCGUAACUGGUCUGAGAGGAUGAUCAGUCACACUGGAACUGAGACACGGUCCAGACUCCUACGGGAGGCAGCAGUGGGGAAUAUUGGACAAUGGGCGAAAGCCUGAUCCAGCCAUGCCGCGUGUGUGAAGAAGGUCUUCGGAUUGUAAAGCACUUUAAGUUGGGAGGAAGGGCAGUAAGUUAAUACCUUGCUGUUUUGACGUUACCAACAGAAUAAGCACCGGCUAACUUCGUG